rnacentral:rRNA from 1 species
GUGAGGAAUAUUGCGCAAUGGAGGCAACUCUGACGCAGCCAUGCCGCGUGCAGGAAGAAGGCGCUACGCGUUGUAAACUGCUUUUAACCGGGAAGAAACCCCAGGACGUGUCCUGGGUUGACGGUACCGGAGGAAUAAGCACCGGCUAACUUCGUGCCAGCAGCCGCGGUAAUACGAAGGGUGCAAGCGUUAUCCGGAUGCAUUGGGGUUAAAGGGUGCGUAGGCGGAGCGUUAAGUCAGUGGUGAAAUCCUGGAGCUUAACUGUAGACUUGCCAUUGAUACUGGCGCUCUUGAGUGCGCUUGAAGUGGGCGGAAUGUGCCGUGUAGCGGUGAAAUGCUUAGAUAUGGCACAGAACACCAAUUGCGAAGGCAGCUCACUAAGGCGAUACUGACGCUGAGGCACGAAAGCGUGGGGAUCGAACAGGAUUAGAUACCCGGGUAGUCC